AUUCUCACACUUAACAAAAUAAGCAUGAUGGUUGGGUUUCCACAUCAUUGUGUGAGAGAUGCUUCCCUCAAACCUUCUUAGGAUAUGAGAAUAUGGCCUAUCUGACA
ensembl:snoRNA